CCCGCACAAGCGGUGAGCAUGUGGUUUAAUCGAAGCAACGCGAAGAACCUUACCAGGUCUUGACAUCCCCUGACAACCCGAGAGAUCGGGCGUUCCCCUUCGGGGGACAGGGUGACAGGUGGUGCAUGGUUGUCGUCAGCUCGUGUCGUGAGAUGUUGGGUUAAGUCCCGCAACGAGCGCAACCCUCGACCUUAGUUGCCAGCAUUCAGUUGGGCACUCUAAGGUGACUGCCGGCUAAAAGUCGGAGGAAGGUGGGGAUGACGUCAAAUCAUCAUGCCCCUUAUGACCUGGGCUACACACGUGCUACAAUGGGCGGUACAAAGGGUCGCGAACCCGCGAGGGGGAGCCAAUCCCAAAAAGCCGCUCUCAGUUCGGAUUGCAGGCUGCAACUCGCCUGCAUGAAGCCGGAAUCGCUAGUAAUCGCGGAUCAGCAUGCCGCGGUCGAAUACGUUCCCGGGCCUU
rnacentral:rRNA from 1 species